rnacentral:miRNA from 17 species
ACCUUCAUUCCACCAGAAUCU